UAGAGUUUGAUCCUGGCUCAGGAUGAACGUUGGCGGCGUGCCUUAAGCAUGCAAAUCAAGGGGUCCCGAUCGCAAGAUCGUGGAUACCGGUGGACGGGUGAGUAAUGCGUGGGAAUCUACCUCGAAGUUGGACAUAGCCCCUCGAAAGAGGGGGUAAUUUCCAAUGUGAACGUAAGUUCAAAGCCGCAAGGCGCUUUGAGAUGAGCCCGCGUCCUAUCAGCUAGUUGGUGAGGUAAAAGCUCACCAAGGCGACGACGGGUAGCUGGACUGAGAGGUCGGCCAGCCACAAUGGGACUGCGACACGGCCCAUACACCUACGGGUGGCAGCAACUGGGAAUAUUCGACAAUGGGCGAAAGCCUGAUCGAGCGACGCCGCGUGGAGGAUGAAGGCCCUCGGGUUGUAAACUCCUUUUAUCAAGGAAGAUUAUGACGGUACUUGAUGAAUAAGCACUUGCUAACUACGUGCCAGAAGCCUCGGUAAUGCGUAGAGUGCAAACGUUAUCCGGAUUUAUUGGGCGUAAAGAGUUGCGUAGGCUGUUUAGCGCAUUUUGUUUGAAAUUCUCUGACUUAAUUGGAGAUUUGGACAAAAUAUGGCUAAACUUGAUGGUAUGGGAGGGUGCUGGAACCGAUGGUGUAGCAGUGAAAUGCGUUGAUAUCAUCGGGAACACCAAAGGCGUAGGCAGGCACCUAACAUACUCAUGACGCUGAGGCACGAAAGCUGGGGGAGCGAAACAGAUUAGAGACCUGUGUAGUCCCAGCCGUAAACUAUCUCUGCUAGAUAGCCGAAAUUUAUUUUGGCUGUCGCAGCUAACGCGUUAAGCAGAGCGCCUGGGGAGUACGAGCGCAAGCUUAAAACUCAAAGGAAUUGACGGGGACCCGCACAAGCAGUGGAGCGUGUUGUUCAAUUCGAUACGAAACGAAAAACCUCACCAGGGUUUGACAUGUACCUGCAAGCGCACGGAAACGUGUGACCUUCGAGGGUGGUACACAGAUGCUGCAUGGCUGUCGUCAGCUCGUGGCGUGAGCUGUUCCAUUAAGUUGGGAAACGAGCGCAACCCUCAUCGUAUGUUAAAUAAUUCAUGCGAAACAGCCCCGAUUCGUCGGGGAGGAAGGCGAGGAUGACGUCAAGUCAGCACGGUUCUUACACCCUGGGCUACAAACACACUACAAUGGCGAAUAACAACGAGUUGCAAGUACGCAAGUACAAGCUAAUCUCUAAAAUUUCGCCUCAGUUCAGAUUGGGGUCUGCAACUCGACCCCAUGAAGCCGGAAUUGCUAGUAAUCGCGGAUCAGCGUGCCGCGGUGAAUACGUUCUCGGGUCUUGUACACACCGCCCGUCAAGGCAGCAAAGUCAGGGGCGCCUGAAGUGCCAUUUAUGGUUCCAAGGCGAAACUGGCGAUGAAGCUUAAGUCGUAACAAGGUAACC
rnacentral:rRNA from 1 species